CUACGGGAUGCAGCAGUGAGGGAUUUUGCGCAAUGGGGGGAACCCUGACGCAGCAACGCCGCGUGAGUGAAGAAGGCCCUUGGGUCGUAAAGCUCUGUCAACAGGGAAGAAGUUAUGGAUUUUUAAUAGAGAUUUGUAUUGACGGUACCUGUGAAGGAAGCACCGGCUAACUCCGUGCCAGCAGCCGCGGUAAUACGGGGGGUGCAAGCGUUAUUCGGAAUUAUUGGGCGUAAAGGGCGCGCAGGCGGCCUUGUCAGUCAGAUGUGAAAGGGCAGGGCUCAACCCUGGAAGUGCAUUUGAAACAGCAAGGCUUGAGUACGGUAGAGGAAAGGGGAAUUCCUGGUGUAGAGGUGAAAUUCGUAGAUAUCAGGAGGAACACCGGUGGCGAAGGCGCCUUUCUGGACCUGUACUGACGCUGAGGCGCGAAGGCGUGGGUAGCGAACAGGAUUAGAUACCCUGGUAGUC
rnacentral:rRNA from 1 species